GUUUUUGUUUGGAGAGUUUGAUCCUGGCUCAGGACGAACGCUGGCGGCGUGCUUAACACAUGCAAGUCGAACGGAAAGGCCCUUCGGGGUACUCGAGUGGCGAACGGGUGAGUAACACGUGGGUGAUCUGCCCUGCACUUUGGGAUAAGCCUGGGAAACUGGGUCUAAUACCGAAUAGGACCACGCGCUUCAUGGUGUGUGGUGGAAAGCUUUUGCGGUGUGGGAUGGGCCCGCGGCCUAUCAGCUUGUUGGUGGGGUAAUGGCCUACCAAGGCGACGACGGGUAGCCGGCCUGAGAGGGUGACCGGCCACACUGGGACUGAGAUACGGCCCAGACUCCUACGGGAGGCAGCAGUGGGGAAUAUUGCACAAUGGGCGCAAGCCUGAUGCAGCGACGCCGCGUGAGGGAUGACGGCCUUCGGGUUGUAAACCUCUUUCAAUAGGGACGAAGCGCAAGUGACGGUACCUAUAGAAGAAGGACCGGCCAACUACGUGCCAGCAGCCGCGGUAAUACGUAGGGUCCGAGCGUUGUCCGGAAUUACUGGGCGUAAAGAGCUCGUAGGUGGUUUGUCGCGUUGUUCGUGAAAACUCACAGCUUAACUGUGGGCGUGCGGGCGAUACGGGCAGACUAGAGUACUGCAGGGGAGACUGGAAUUCCUGGUGUAGCGGUGGAAUGCGCAGAUAUCAGGAGGAACACCGGUGGCGAAGGCGGGUCUCUGGGCAGUAACUGACGCUGAGGAGCGAAAGCGUGGGGAGCGAACAGGAUUAGAUACCCUGGUAGUCCACGCCGUAAACGGUGGGUACUAGGUGUGGGUUUCCUUCCUUGGGAUCCGUGCCGUAGCUAACGCAUUAAGUACCCCGCCUGGGGAGUACGGCCGCAAGGCUAAAACUCAAAGGAAUUGACGGGGGCCCGCACAAGCGGCGGAGCAUGUGGAUUAAUUCGAUGCAACGCGAAGAACCUUACCUGGGUUUGACAUGCACAGGACGCCAGUAGAGAUAUUGGUUCCCUUGUGGCCUGUGUGCAGGUGGUGCAUGGCUGUCGUCAGCUCGUGUCGUGAGAUGUUGGGUUAAGUCCCGCAACGAGCGCAACCCUUGUCUCAUGUUGCCAGCACGUUAUGGUGGGGACUCGUGAGAGACUGCCGGGGUCAACUCGGAGGAAGGUGGGGAUGACGUCAAGUCAUCAUGCCCCUUAUGUCCAGGGCUUCACACAUGCUACAAUGGCCGGUACAAAGGGCUGCGAUGCCGUGAGGUGGAGCGAAUCCUUUCAAAGCCGGUCUCAGUUCGGAUCGGGGUCUGCAACUCGACCCCGUGAAGUCGGAGUCGCUAGUAAUCGCAGAUCAGCAACGCUGCGGUGAAUACGUUCCCGGGCCUUGUACACACCGCCCGUCACGUCAUGAAAGUCGGUAACACCCGAAGCCGGUGGCCUAACCCUUGUGGAGGGAGCCGUCGAAGGUGGGAUCGGCGAUUGGGACGAAGUCGUAACAAGGUAGCCGUACCGGAAGGUGCGGCUGGAUCACCUCCUUUCUAA
rnacentral:rRNA from 1 species